rnacentral:rRNA from 1 species
UAAGGUGCGGAGCCGUAGCGAAAGCGAGUUUUAACUGAGCGUUCAGUUACUGGACGUAGACCCGAAACCGGGCGACCUACCCAUGAGCAGGAUGAAGCGAAAGUAAAAUUUCGUGGAGGUCCGAACCCACGAGCGUUGAAAAGCUCGGGGAUGACUUGUGGGUAGCGGUGAAAUUCCAAUCGAGCCCGGAGAUAGCUGGUUCUCCCCGAAAUAGCUUUAGGGCUAGCCUCAAGGUGA